rnacentral:rRNA from 1 species
CCUACGGGAGGCAGCAGUGGGGAAUCUUGGACAAUGGGGGCAACCCUGAUCCAGCCAUGCCGCGUGAGUGAUGAAGGCCCUAGGGUCGUAAAGCUCUUUCGCCUGUGAAGAUAAUGACGGUAGCAGGUAAAGAAACCCCGGCUAACUCCGUGCCAGCAGCCGCGGUAAUACGGAGGGGGUUAGCGUUGUUCGGAAUUACUGGGCGUAAAGCGCACGUAGGCGGAUCGGAAAGUUGGGGGUGAAAUCCCGGGGCUCAACCCCGGAACUGCCUCCAAAACUAUCGGUCUAGAGUUCGAGAGAGGUGAGUGGAAUUCCGAGUGUAGAGGUGAAAUUCGUAGAUAUUCGGAGGAACACCAGUGGCGAAGGCGGCUCACUGGCUCGAUACUGACGCUGAGGUGCGAAAGUGUGGGGAGCAAACAGGAUUAGAUACCCUGGUAGUCCACACCGUAAACGAUGAAUGCCAGUCGUCGGGUAGCAUGCUAUUCGGUGACACACCUAACGGAUUAAGCAUUCCGCCUGGGGAGUACGGUCGCAAGAUUAAAACUCAAAGGAAUUGACGGGG